UACGAAGGGGGCUAGCGUUGUUCGGAUUUACUGGGCGUAAAGCGCACGUAGGCGGAUUGUUAAGUCGGGGGUGAAAUCCUGGAGCUCAACUUCAGAAUUGCCUUCGAUACUGGCUUUCUAGAGGCUGGAAGAGGUUAGUGGAAUUCCCAGUGUAGAGGUGAAAUUCGUAGAUAUUCGGAGGAACACCAGUGGCGAAGGCGGCUCACUGGUCCAUUACUGACGCUGAGGUGCGACAGCGUGGGGAGCAAACAGG
rnacentral:rRNA from 1 species